UUUAAUGAGAGUUUGAUCCUGGCUCAGGACGAACGCUGGCGGCGUGCCUAAUACAUGCAAGUAGAACGCUGAAGGAGGAGCUUGCUUCUCUGGAUGAGUUGCGAACGGGUGAGUAACGCGUAGGUAACCUGCCUGGUAGCGGGGGAUAACUAUUGGAAACGAUAGCUAAUACCGCAUAACAAUGGAUGACACAUGUCAUUUAUUUGAAAGGGGCAAUUGCUCCACUACAAGAUGGACCUGCGUUGUAUUAGCUAGUAGGUGAGGUAACGGCUCACCUAGGCGACGAUACAUAGCCGACCUGAGAGGGUGAUCGGC
rnacentral:rRNA from 1 species